rnacentral:rRNA from 1 species
ACGAACGCUGGCGGCGUGCUUCACACAUGCAAGUCGAACGGUGAAGCGCCUUCCUUUUUGGUGGGUGUGGAUGAGUGGCGAACGGGUGAGUAACACGUGAGUAACCUGCCCCCUUCUUCUGGAUAACCGCAUGAAAGUGUGGCUAAUACGGGAUAUUCUGGGUCUGUCGCAUGAUGGGUCUGGGAAAGAUAUUGUUUCGGUGGGGGAUGGGCUCGCGGCCUAUCAGCCUGUUGGUGGGGUGAUGGCCUACCAAGGCGGUGACGGGUAGCCGGCCUGAGAGGGUGGACGGUCACACUGGGACUGAGACACGGCCCAGACUCCUACGGGAGGCAGCAGUGGGGAAUAUUGCACAAUGGGCGCAAGCCUGAUGCAGCGACGCCGCGUGAGGGAUGGAGGCCUUCGGGUUGUGAACCUCUUUCGCCAGUGAAGCAGGCCUGCCUCGUUUGUGGGUGGGUUGACGGUAGCUGGAGAAGAAGCGCCGGCUAACUACGUG